rnacentral:sRNA from 1 species
UCUUGUAUUGAGGGUUACUGAGCCUGGCUGAGGAGAAUGUGUCACCAGAGCAGCACAGAGGCAGGGGUGGACCAGCAGUUACAUCGAGGUAGAUCCUUGUGUUAACAGGAAAAACACUUGGAGUCUCCAACACCACUGCUAUCCAGGCAUCCAUUCAUUCAAUUGAAGUGAUCGAAUCCAGGAUAGGACCAGCAGCCCCAGUAGUCCUGGGAGGUCAGUCAGAGAUCGGGACCAGGAAGCUUUUACUGCAGGGCCUCUCUGGAGUGUGGAUGGGAUUCUGGGAUUACUCAGCCCCUAAGAGCAUGGGGACUACAUGGAUGCAGAGAUGAUAACCUUCAUGGUCUUUUAGAGCUGGAGGUAAGUGUUGAAUUGGCCAUCUCUUUCCCUCCUUACAUCUUAUACACAGAGAGAACUGAGGUUCAGAGGAGUGAACUCAGUGCUGGCAUCAGCUAGUUUGAUCAUAACCAGGAGUAGAGCUCAGGUCUCCAGGUCCUGAGCCUGUGUCCUCUACCCCACAUCUACUUCCCUAAACUUCUUCCCAGAGGCCUUCUGAAGGUGGGUGGGGGUGGGGAGUUGACUCCUCAGGCACGUGGAGAUCAUCUCACUAAAAUUGAGAUUACAGCACCGUUUCCCCAGGCAGCAUGGGUGUGCUACCUUUUACUGUAGGGAGGCCUCUACCAGGCAUUCUGCUACAGCCGAGCACCUAGCCUCUAUCUUGUUUCCAUCAACAUAAUCUGUUCGCAACAUGAGAUUGGGCUUUUCCCUGGCCCCUUAUCACUAAUAGGAUCAGCGGAUUCUGCAGGAUGUGGGGAGCUGCAGUGAGCAUGCUCAGUCGGGGAAGCCGCUGUCUCAGAAACCGCAGCUCAGCUGGGUAUACACCAAGCUUUUGUAUUCAGGAGAGGAGAGUUCACCAGGAUUCGUCUCUCUCUCCUGGACCGCUUUAGCUCAGGCUGUAGCUCUAACUCAAAGCCCUGUCAACCAGAGGACGGUUUGGUUAGUGCCUCGUAGAGCCUCCACCGAGUCGUCGCCAUCUUACUUUUGGAAGCUUCUCUCAUCAUAUAUAACAUUUAUCUCACUUUAGGCCGUCAAUGUGUUUGCCAUAGGCACUUCUGGCUUGUACCUGAUAAAGAAGUCUCACACGGGAAAGGAAGAAGCCGAAUGGAGCUCCCACUUCGGGUCUGCUGCUUGUUAGCUGUGCACCCUUGGUUUUUUAGGACUGGGCUUUGAAAUGUCUUCACUUCUGGAAGGCUCUUCCCCACUGACCCCACCCAGGACUUCCGCUCAUAGGAUGGCACUACCUGUAUUAAGGGCACAUCUUUCCUCCUCAGAGCCUUCCCUGGCUUCCAGGUGCCGUUGUCAUAGAGGACAAGAUCCUAGCAAGCCAGCUGAUGAGGCCUCCUGGAGCAUCUGUGAUGUGGCCAGCCUUGCACUGUGGCAGAAGCAAGAGAAGGCUCUUCCGCUCUUGAAUAAUUAUUUCGUGUACUGGGAGAGAUGAAGACAGUUCGUGGAGAGGUACCAGUUGUGAGGUAGAGGAGAUGGGGCAGUUGUGAGGAUCAUUAUAGUUAAGACGGAGAGAGACUGACCCUGAGUGGUCAAGAAAUGCUUCCUGGAGGAGGCGAGCCUCGGGGAACGAGAAGUCCAUGGAGGGCCUCAAACAUACAGACUGCCUCCUGAGCACCGGCUUCGAGCUCGGAGCUUUGUGGAUAUGGUUGCUAUUGCGGCCGUCUUACAGAGUUUCAACGUCAGAACCAUUACGGUCUCUUUGUGAGUGAGACAAAUGGGGCUCUAAGAGGUGGAGUUUUCCACCUGGUUUCACAGUGAAUGAGGGGCAGAGCCAGGAUGAGCAUUCAGCACUGGGGGACUGGAAGCCUGAGCCUGAGGUAUUCACUGCUGUUAUGCAAAUGUCUGUGUGCAGAGGGUGCCCGUCUGGCACUAAUUAACCUGUAAGGAGUGUGGAAUCUCAAGGUCGAAGAUUGGUGGGGGCACAAUUUCAGAGUAGGGUCCCAGUCUGGACCUUAGCAGGUGAUACUGUAUCCCUCAGUGUUGAUGGACCUUUCUUCUUGUUGGUGGUUUUGGAAAGGUGUGGCCUUGUCACUCUAGCCUCACACCUGGGCUUGGGCCACAUCCUCUCACUGCAGAUGAAUGCAGCAGCCCCUAGGCUCAUGGCCGUCAGUAGCAUCUGUCCACAGCGGCCACCACCAUGAUCCUCCGAAGCAUAGAUCCUCUUGCUCCCAGUGUACUGGAAACUCCCAUUUCCACAGAAUCCUCAACGAUGCUGCAGGCCUCCUUUCCCUGUCCCUCCUCUCCUUCAUCUCUGCCUCUCCAGUCAGAAACCCUCUGCUUCUCUCUUGACCAUCUUUGGGCUUCCUGUGAUCACAUCCCUCCCAGUCCAGCUCCCUGUGACCUUCAUCCAUCCUCUAGGUGUGUGGAUAGAUGCUCUCUCUCACAGUCUCAGAGGACAGGGACAGAAAUAGGGAUAGAGUUAGCUCUCUUGAGUGGCUUCAGGCCCAGCAGAGAAUAGUCAGAGAGCUACAACCAGGCCUGCCCGCAUCUCCGCCAGGCAUCCUACAAGUGUGUUCCUAGCAUCCACUUGGAGCUCUCUUUGAGGCUGGGUAUUCGGGACACCGAGAAAAGUGAGGGCAGGUUGUGCCCUGUCUUUGUGGCAUGCGCAGAUCACAGGUUUGACUUUCUCCAAACCUCAGCUACUCUGUUAGGGAAAUCAGCUGAGCUGUGUGGGAAUAAUGUUGGGAGCAGAGCCCAGCUGUGUGUCUGCCCCCAUGAUGCCAAAAGUGGGUAGAGCAUUGAAGGACGAGUAGCCAAAGCCUCGUGAGGGGCAGCUGGUCUGUCUCAGUCCUACAUGGUUUUUUCCUCCGAGACUCAGAGUGAUCCAUCCCCUUUGGGCCCCUCCACUGAACGGUGCUGCUUCAGCUCCUGUGGCCAGUUUUUUCUGUGAGCCAUUCCAGAGAACUCACAGUGACCAGAGAAGUAGGUCUUAGAGCCAUUGCCCACAGGAUAGGAGGGGCUCCUGCCAACAGGCAGGCAUUGUUUACUAUGGACAGACAGCAGGCUGCAUGUUUUCCUAAUUUCCCAGAGAGCUCAUUUUACGCUCUGCUAAGAGCUCAAUGAGCUGGUACAAAAGCUGGGAGGCCCUCCUGCUUCCAGCGGGAUGGUUGGUGGGAGCCUGACACGGCGCUGUGCUGAGGACCAGGCAUCCAGAGCUAUAUUCCCGCAGGUCUUCCUCUCACAAGGGCCCCCUGAAGAUACCUUCCCUCCUAGGAUGGAUGGCUAGUGCGUCUCUGCAGCGAUGAGAGCCUUGGGGACUUCUGAGCUGGUGGAGUCUAAUCUAAGCAAUGCUAAAGACUAAAGGAGUCUUUUGUGGGCUUCUGGCCUGGCCUCAGUGAAGAGGGGGGUGUGACCUGGAAGGUCAGUUCCCUCCCCCUGGCCCAGAGUGAGAUUCUAUCCAGAGUGGCUGGGAUGAACCAGCUGAGAUCUGGAACUGUCCUGUGGUGCAAAUAGAAUGUGGGGACCAAGUGACUGGUCCUAGAUCUGGCUGCAGACAUAAGCAGAGGCUUCCUCACAAGGCACCUGGAAUAUGCCCAGAGAAUUUGCUCUUGCCGCCAUAAAAGUCUUUGUUUUUACAUUUACUUAUUUAGUGUGUGUGUGUGUGUGUGUGUGUGUGUGUGUGUGUGUGUGUGUGUG